GAUGAACGCUAGCGGGAGGCCUAACACAUGCAAGCCGAGCGGUAUUUCUUCUUCGGGAGAGAGAGAGCGGCGUACGGGUGCGGAACACGUGUGCAACCUGCCUUUAUCUAGAGGAUAGCCUUUCGAAAGGAAGAUUAAUACUCUAUAAUAUAUUAAUUGGCAUCAAUUGAUAUUGAAAACUCCGGUGGAUAGAGAUGGGCACGCGCAAGAUUAGCUAGUUGGUGAGGUAACGGCUCACCAAGGCAAUGAUCUUUAGGGGGCCUGAGAGGGUGAUCCCCCACACUGGUACUGAGACACGGACCAGACUCCUACGGGAGGCAGCAGUGAGGAAUAUUGGUCAAUGGGUGCAAGCCUGAACCAGCCAUCCCGCGUGAAGGAUUAAGGUCCUAUGGAUUGUAAACUUCUUUUGUAUAGGGAUAAACCUACCCUCGUGAGGGUAGCUGAAGGUACUAUACGAAUAAGCACCGGCUAACUCCGUGCCAGCAGCCGCGU
rnacentral:rRNA from 1 species